rnacentral:rRNA from 1 species
GAACGGUAACAUUUCUAGCUUGCUAGAAGAUGACGAGUGGCGCACGGGUGAGUAACGCGUAUACAAUCUACCUUUUACAGGGGGAUAGCCUUUAGAAAUGAAGAUUAAUAUCCCAUAGUAAGUUAUUGUUGCAUGAUGAUAACUUUAAAGCUUCGGCGGUAAAAGAUGAGUAUGCGUUCUAUUAGUUAGUUGGUGUGGUAACGGCACACCAAGACUACGAUAGAUAGGGGCCCUGAGAGGGGGAUCCCCCACACUGGUACUGAGACACGGACCAGACUCCUACGGGAGGCAGCAGUGAGGAAUAUUGGACAAUGGGCGAGAGCCUGAUCCAGCCAUGCCGCGUGCAGGAAGACUGCCCUAUGGGUUGUAAACUGCUUUUAUACAGGAAGAAACCUUUUCACGUGUGAAAAGCUGACGGUACUGUAAGAAUAAGGAUCGGCUAACUCCGUGCCAGCAGCCGCGGUAAUACGGAGGAUCCAAGCGUUAUCCGGAAUCAUUGGGUUUAAAGGGUCCGUAGGUGGAUAAUUAAGUCAGGGGUGAAAGUUUGCAGCUCAACUGUAAAAUUGCCUUUGAUACUGGUUAUCUUGAAUUAUUGUGAAGUGGUUAGAAUAUGUAGUGUAGCGGUGAAAUGCAUAGAUAUUACAUAGAAUACCAAUUGCGAAGGCAGAUCACUAACAAUAUAUUGACACUGAUGGACGAAAGCGUGGGGAGCGAACAGGAUUAGAUACCCUGGUAGUCCACGCCGUAAACGAUGGAUACUAGCUGUUCGGUUUUCGGACUGAGUGGCUAAGCGAAAGU